UAGCAAACAGCCAAACUGAAAAUAUCCCAUUAGAAGUGUUUGAGAGUACAUGAUCAAGACACCUAGUGCACAAGGGUGCUUAUUGUAAUUAUAUUUAGGAAACAAGAUACGAUCUUAAAACAUAAAGCAAUAAUACGAGUUGAACAUCAAAACAAGAUAACACAACAAUUUCACAAACACAUCUCUCAGGCUUCUUUAUUUUGACAAGGUUAUGUAUGCAGGCUGCAAAUACAUGAUAUUUGUCCGCGUUACUAAUAGGGAUGAAGAAUGACACUGAAAGAGUCGAGGUAAUCCCCGUAGUUUCCGCUGAAUCCACCAAAGCUACCCUUAGCGACUGGCAGCGAGAAACUAGUCCCCUGGGUUGUGCCAUAUGGCCCAUACUUCUUUUUGUUGGUUAGGAAAGACAAUGACGUAAUCACAGUGUAGCCGGCAUAUACUCCCACAGUUCCGCUAAUCCCGAUGAGGUUCUCAUCAUCAGCAAAUGUAAACUGAAGAUAUACCCAAAUAGAUGAUAAAUGAUGUAUGAUAAAACUAGAAUAUAAGUGCAGUACAUGUUUAGGUAACAGAUGUAAUGAAAGCCCACUAUACCGUAUGAGGUGAACCACCAUCACCACCAUAUGUUUCAGAAUGGUGUUUGACAUUAUCACGAUCCUUGUAAGUGAACCUGAUUGAAUCUACACACCCUGAGGCACUGAUACGGAUCUCGCAAAUCCUGCCCUCAGGGAUGAAUGUCCAGGGAUUAACUCCACCCUUACCUCCCCACGGUCCAACCUGUACGCCAUUGCCUGCCUGCAUAUAGGGGUGAAAUAAAAUAUAUAACUAAGAAGUGGACAUAUCUUAGCAAUCAACAGAUGAAAUACACCAGGUUAACCAUAAACCCAGCAUUUCCAAAUAUAUAUGGUGAAAGAGUAUACCAUGUUUGAUCUGAAUGUAUUCUCAAAGGAAAAGAUGAAACUCGUGGAAAGUAAUAAGUUAUACAUUUAGCCCCAUUAAGAGAAGGACUAUUUAUAGACCUGAUCAGGUAGGGUUUUUAAAGUAUAAUGGAUUCAGAUAAGAUGUCCGGUCUUCCUGUAAUGAAAACAUAAAAGUUUAUAUUGAUUUACUAUGAUUGGGUAAAUGUAAUUCUUUAGUAAAAGAUGUCGGUAGAAUAUGUUAGGGUGUAGUAACUUAAGGAUGAAUAGUAGUUUCACAUGUGUCAAUGUACGGUAUCAAUUUUUAGAGCACAUGCUUGUUAGGUAGUAAUUCAAUAAGAUGACAAUAGAUGCUUCUGUCAUCAGUUUUCAAAGGCUUCCAUCACAGACAUUUAUUCUAACAACCAAGCUUUUGAACACAAGUUUGGAGGUUUUUGAGCACAUGUGGGUGAUCUUUCUAUUUCAAUUUUGUACCAAUCGUUUUUUCUGCAUUUCUAGUUUGAGCAGCAAAUUGUGUCCCUCUUCUUGUACUUUGAAAUCUACAAGUAACUUGUUCUGAAACCCACCCAUUUAAUUAUCAUAUCUUGUCGUGUCAACAAGUGUAUUUUUGUGUUGUGUUCAUGUCGGAUUUGCAGUUUAGGGUUUAGACGUUUAAAUAUGUCGAUAGAUUGAAGGAGUAGGAGUUAGAGACGUUGAAAAGUAAAUGUGAAAAAUAGGAAGACUAGUAGUUUGGGGGUAUUGGAAUGAAUAUCACGAUAAGUUUAGAGGAGGAAAGUCACAUUGAAAUGGAAAUGGGUGAGUAAGAUUGUGGAGUAUAACAUGUUAAUGAAAAAGUGAAAAACUAAAAGUAAGUUUCAGCGGGACGGCUAAUUAGUAUAUGAUGUUAAUUAAAAAGUGAAAAACUAAAAGCAGGGGCGGAACACGAGAAGUUAAAUUAGGGGGGCCAAAAUCAAAUUUAAAAAAAAAAACAUAUUAAUAAGUUUAAUUUGAUUAAAGGAUAUGAGAUAUAGAAAUUUUUAAAUAAAACAACUAGUAUGAAAUAUAUUUAUGUCGCUCAUAAAAAUGGAACCUUUUCGAAUAGUGAUCUUGAUUCGGCUUACAAGUCUACUGUUCCUCAAUUUAAAUAAAAUAAAAUAAAAUGCUUUAUAAUAUUAUUAUUGAGGAGGUCUAUAAUCUCAACUCUAAACCAAAACAAAAUUUUGAUCAUCAUUUAUCUUGGUGGAAUAACCUUACCUUAGCUAAGCAGCUUAUUUUUUUUCCAAAAUCUCACUAAAUGAGAAUUUUGUACACGCUUUCAAGUAUACGUUUGGUAUUAACCAAGUGCUUUCUCUAUGUAUUACUAUUUUUUAUUUUUAUAUAUAUUACUAUAUUGAGAUUGAGAUGUUUAAUUAAACAUAAAAGAAUAACCAAAAUAUUUAUAAAACGUGGAAAUAAAUGCAAAUAAAAGAACUGAAAUUAUAGUCUUAAAAAAGGAGAAUGCACUCGGUAGGCCCACAUUGGUUUAAUGAAAUAAAUAAAUAAUACUCAACUUUGAAAUAUCUCAUCCAAUUCAAGUUUGCUAACGAGUUGCAAAUAGACUAAUAGGUUGGAACUUAGAACCCAAAAAAGCAAGGGGGCCAUGGCCCCCCUUGGCUAUAACUAAGUUCCGCCACUGACUAAAAGUAAAUAUUGACUGGAACGGUUAAUUAGUAGCUUCCAAAUUAUAAAACGAUUCAACCAAAGUUUUCUUUUACCACUAGUUUUUAUUCUAGGCAUGCUGAGUUUACCUAAAAGAUGAAUAGAAGUUGUCUAUAUAUAAACGUCUCAUUUUUGUGUUAGAAAGUUUAGACUUUAACAUUACCCGUUUAAUAUUCGUGACAUAUCUACUCGUUCAAUAAAAUAGGUGGAAAUCUUUUACCCAUACUCGUCUAUUUGCAUGUCGUGUCGAUAAUUUCCACCCUUCAGUUUUUUAUGGAUUUCAGUUAGAGAAAAUGGUUCUAGUCUCUCUUUAGGGUGAGUAAUCCAAUUACUACCGCAACGAUAUGGUAGUUUAAAAUAUUAAUCUAAUUACUCAAUCGUUGUAGUUCAACCCACUUUUUAUUUAGCGGAAUUUGCAAGAAUGGUCAUGUGGUUUAUAAUUUUUUGUGUUUCGGUCAAAAAAACGUUUGUGCAUAAACUAGUACUACAAAAUGAUAUAUUUAUUUAUUUUUGUUCGGUCUCAACUUAAAAAACUACUAUAACACUUAUAAUUGUUUUUUCAUUGGUUUUUUUGGUUUUAUUUUAAUUUUUCUAAAAUGAAAAAUACAAAAAGCAUGUAACAACAAUCCCAUCCUUACUCCCCUCUCUUUAAAGACGUUGACUCAAAAUCUUCUCCGAAUGCUCUCGCUCAACUAUCUAGGACCUAGCAUCUACAACCCCUUCUCGCCGGAAAGUACCUUCGUCUCACUGCCUCCAUUCCCCUAUCAUUCUCUAUUUCUUGUCCCAUUUUUCGUCUUUUGAUAACGGUGAAACCACCACCACCAUAAUGUUUCCUAAUCCAUGGUAUUGGUGCAACCAUGGUAAAUUAUGCGAUUUAAAAUUAUGGGUGUUACAAGUUGGUAUCAAAGCCAUGGUUUACGCUAAUUACGUUGGAUUAUCCUUCCUAGGUUUAAACAAUAAAAAUAACGGUGUGUGUUCCUUGUGAAAGUGGUGUGAUUAUUUUUAGAUUUGCGUGCCUGGUUUGGUAAGAGUUAUGAUUCGGAUAAUAUCUCCCUAUAUAGAUUAGGAGGUUAUGUUAAUUUUUUGUGGCAAUGAGAACUGAUUGGGAAUUUCUAUUACCAUGUGAGACAUAGGUAACUAGGAAUUACCGAAAAAGAAAGCCAUAUAGUUUGUCUCUAUGAUAAAGUUGGAAUUCUAAUAGAGAACUAGAACUUUGAAAGUUAUGAGAGUCCUGUUAUUUAUGUAGUAAAACUGUAGGAGCGGUUCGCAAGGGUGAUGUUUUUUAUCAAAGGAGUCUGGAAAAAGUCUUGGUGUCAUGGAAGAAAGUCGUAACGGUUUACAUUUAUACCGAUUAACUCACAAACUUGUUAGCAUUGUUCGUCAAUGCGUGGUUUACAGAAGAAAGGAAGAUCUAAUGUAAUUUGAAAGGCAUACCCUCAGAAUAUUAGAAUAUUAUGCAGGUGAAAUGAUAGUGUGUAUUAUAUAAUGCGACGGUGGUAGUAUUAUUUAUGAGAGGCUUUUAAGAAGAUUAAAACGGGUGUGAAGAAGAGGACAAUGGUACAACUAGUGUUGUCAUAGACACUUGGCGAAAAGUUUAACCGGAACAUGACUGUGUUGCUGACGUGGAUAGAAAGGCAUGAAGGUAAGAAAUGCAAAGAGUACACAGAAGAAAAAGUUAUGAAGAAGAGAGAACUUAUAACUCCUAAUUUGAGGCAACGUGUGGAUCUGUAACGUAUUAAUAAAUCUAGGGAUGAUUUAUGUGUGUGUGAAAGGUUGUUAUUUCCUUUUGUGAAUCAGUUGAAAAGGUUGUAUUAAACCUUAUGAUGGUAAGGAGUCAUAAAAAAGGGAUCAAAGAGUCAUAUGGAUUCGUGAGAGUAUAACAAUCUCUUGUUAAGAGCUUAAGGCAAGUAUUGAAUUGAGUAAGGAACUUAAUGAUCAAGUGACUGAUGAAAUAUGAGAUAUGAAACUUCAAGGACGUGUGACUCCUUGAUGUGAGGGACUAGUGUAUAAUUACAUCUCGUUAAUGUACUAGUUAUAGACCUGAGGUGCAAGGAUAUGAAACUUUUAGAAGCUGACUAGGUGAUCAACGAAUAGAUAUAAUGGUACACUUCCAAAUUCUCAUAUAGAGAAGGUAAUAAGAAGAAUAACGAAAUUGGUUUGGUAAAACUUGUGAAUCGGGAAAUAGAAUGGUAAAGUCAGAACUACAUGAUAAUCAUUUGCAUGCAAUGUUAUGGCUCGCAUAUCACUACACACACAUAUCACUCGUUGUGAUUUGAAAAAAACAUGAUGUUGUUCGAAAUUGGAGUAUGAGAUGGGAAAUUCUAGUUGGGUAUGUUGGAAUACUAACGGUGUGUGAAUAAAGACAUUUAGGUAUCAUGUGUUAAGUAACAUUAGAACGUGUAAUGUGUAAUGUCUAGUGUACGAACAUUAUGCAAUUAUUAGACAAAUGAUGUAUUUGGAUGUGAUAGUUAUGGUUAGUUGUGGAGUGAUCAUGUUUGAUACUUCAUUAAAGAAGUUAGAAGGAAGCCUGGUAAGUGGUUGCCCAAUUACCGAUAAAAUUAGAAUACCUUAGUUGAAGCAUGAUGGGAAAGGGAUAUGGUAAUGGGAUGCGUAAAAGAUUCCAAUGGUGAAUUUGAUUUGGGGCACAAGAAAAUCUGCUACAAUUUGGUCCAGUGUUCUUAGUUUAGUUAACACGAGUAUGAAUUCAACUUCUUCAGCCGGUUGUGUGAAAAUUAGAAUUCUUAAAGGUGUUUGUGUCAAGUGGCACAAAAGGUCUGGGCAUACUCCAUCAUGUUUUCACCCAUAACCAUGACUGAAAAUUUCGAAAUAUGUUUGUGAGGUUGAUUGAAGCAAUUGAUGAGACAAGGUUGGAUGAUGUUAUAAGUACUACCACAAUUGACUAAAACGGUAACGGUUUAGUUUUUAGAGAGAGGAAAACCCAAAAAAACGUUGUGGUGGAAAAUGUAAGGAAUUGAUUUUUGGCGUAGUUGAGGUUCUCGGUAGUCGGUAUGGGUUCAAGGAGAUGGUCUUCGUCGAAGUGAUCUGCAUUGUCAACGACGAGCAUGAACUGUGGGAGGUUACACUUGUCGCACAAUGUUUUUUUUUACUGAUUCAGGGGAUAAGAAGGAGAAUCGACGAGGAUGUUUUGGUGUGGGUAAGACGGUCAGCAUGGGUUAGGAAGUGGUAGUUGUUGGUGAUGAUGGUGUGAUACUGGUUGCUGGUAAAUUCUUGGGAUAUGUUAUAGUAGAUGAAGAACAUGAGUUUAGAAAGUGUGGUUUUGCAAAUCCGAGUUUAUCUUCCAAGAGUUUGACUAACCCAUAUGCUUGAUGAAGGGAAGUGGGGUGAUGAAGUGCUAACUCGUUCUGAAUGUUAGGAAUAUAGAAUUCAACACAGAGAGUUGAGAGGAAGCAAUUUAGAAGGGAAUUGGUAUCGUGACCUGAGAGGAUGCAAUUGCUGACUUUUUCGAACUCUAAUUGAUAGGCCGAAACAAUGGUCAGUUGCCGAAGUUUGAAGUGGACGACUUGGUAGUUCUCUUAUGUGGAAGAUCCGAGCGGAGUUCCAAGGCUCGGGAGAACUCCGUCCACGUGCACAAUAGGUGGAUGUUUGCUAGAUGCUUGUACCGACUCUAGGCAUCUACGGCGAAGUAAAAGAUAACAAUGGUAACUCGUUGAGCUUGUGCGAUGGUAUAGUAAUCAAAGUAGGUUACCAUAGAAGUUGGAUAGGGAAAUUUUGGUGGUCGGAGGUGGUUCGGUGGUGGUGGUGGUGGUGAUUUUUGUUGUUGUUGUUGUAAGGAUGUUGACAAGUUGAUCCAACUUGGUGGCGGUAGUGAUGGAGAGACGGAUAAGGGUUACCAUUUGGUCUUGGAGGGUUGAGUUAGGGUUGUUAGAGGAGGAGCACGAUUAGCUUUCAGGAGGCAUUGAAAUGAGAAUGAAAGCACCAGUUGAUAGCAAGCCAAUUUGAGAUGGUGAAUCUCCCAAGAGAAGUAAGAACAAGAAACUUGGGGCAGUUUUCUGCUUACUUUAACCAAAUGUAGGGUACAAUUUACCGAAAUGUGAAAGAUAUCAUUCUAGCUAAAUUAAGGAAACAUACAUGCAGGAACAAUCGUUAGCUCGUAACUUAAUGCAAUUAGCUUUUACCGGAAAAGUGGAAGUAGGCCAAGCCUUCAAGUAUGUGGACAGGGGUGGAUGCUUUAAGGGGCCAGGAGGGGCCAUGGCCCCUCCGUUUUUUAGCUUUCCAACUCCAAUACUCAAGGAGUAUGAAUGUAGAAGCGGAUCUCUUAGGGCUGAUGCGGUUGUGUCCUCCCUGUUGUGUGGGACAUAUAUGUGAUGAUUGACGAGACCAAGUAGGGCCUUCGAAGAAUACAUGCAAAACGUUCCCGUUAUCCAUUCAAUGCCCUUAUUCAUACUCAAACCUUCUUGCUUCAACGAUUCUUCGAGUGACUAAUUACCGGUGGCAGAAUUGUUGACUCCUACAUUGCUAAAUUGCUCAUGUUUUAUGGAAAUCUACCCAAAUUAAUCUGUAUGUUUCUUUCUCCGUCUCCAUUUUAGUUAUUUUCUUUUCCAAAAUUGCUAUAUAUUUGUAGUUAGAGUUCAAUUAUUAGGGUUUUGCAACCCAAUUUUGAUACAAAUUCAUUUUCAUUUUUCAAUGUUAACAUCAAUUUUGGCUUUGAAAUCAGAUUUCAUACUCAUAACAUGUAGAUUUGAAUAUGUAUAUGAAUGAGUAUUUUGAGAUUCAAUAAUCAAAAUUAUCAACAAUAAAACCAGGGUCAUCGCUCCUACUCUUUUCCCGGUUGAAAAGUUGAAAAGGUUGGCUAUUGAUCUUUUGAGGUAAAUGUAUUAUAUUUUUUUUUUAUUUCUCUUAGUUUUUUGGAAUCUGAUUCAUAUUGGUAUGGCAGCAUCAUAUUUUGUUAGUUUAAGCAAAAUAUUUGAUUAAAGGAUUAAAAUCCUUUAAGGCUUUUGUAGGAUGUAAUACUUUGAGCUAAAUAUCUGAUUACAUGAUUAAAAGAUUAGAAUCCUUUAAGACCUUUGCAGGCUGUUCUACUUUAAAUUAAUGACAGUUCAUGAUCAUUGCAUUUUUUUUAUUACAGGGUUAAAUGUGUCUUUUUAGUUACUAGAUGAAUAAUGAGCUCAUAAGUCCAAUUCAAUUAAAUAGUUGUGUUUGGUUUAUUUAGAUCCAUCAUUUGGGCAUUCUAUAUGCUUUAUUUCACAUAUGAAUAUCUUGAAAGUAGCUAAUAAAUAGGUUUGAUGCUUGGAGAUUCUCACACACAGUAACUGUUGCUUUUACACUAUGUACUUGUAUGUUUUUGAGGCUCUCUAUACUUAAUCUCUUAUGAUCACUUGUUAGCCCUUUUUGGUGCUAUUCACAGACGUAACUAUGAUGAUAUCAAAGAAUAUGAGCAAACUCUUACUAAACAGAUCAUGAAUGAUCAUACUUUCUUUGUUAAUGUUUACUUGAUACGGUUAUAGUUUUUCUUUUUAUUGUAAUAAAUUUUCUUUACUUUUUAUAUGAUUUAUUUUGAAAGUUGGAUUCCGCCCCCUAGUUCAAAUGUCUGUGUUCCGCCCAUGUAUGUGGAGUUCCAUACUUGUGCUUCAAUCCUUGUAAUGGGCCUUUCAAACUUAUUUUUUGAUGGACUUCAGUUUGCUGACUCUUUUCUAGUGUAUGCGCGGUAUCACUUCCCCAUGGUUGAGUUGACAAUACCCUUAUAGCACUUAAUACCCCCAUUGUUGCCAUAUAAAUAAAUAAAUAAAUAAAUAAAUAAAUAAACUGAUGACAGCUUCUUGUUACACCCAUUAUCACCAUUUAAUUUUCAUACAUCGCUACAAAAAAUAUGGAUGAAUUUAAAUGUAUUAGAAGAAAUUCUUCUUCGCCAAACAAAUGCUCAUUAUGUGUGAUUGUAGAGUCAUAAUUGCUAUUUUUCCAUAACUAGUUCAUAUGGCUAACUUCAAAACAAAGAAAAAAAUAUUUUCAUUAUAUACAAUUCCAUACAACUUGUUUUUAACUAUAUUUAAGUGUAGCAAAAUUUAUCAUUAUUUACCAGAUAAUCAAUUAUCUAGUAUUGUGAAAGAACACCUACAAACUUAAUUCUUAUUUGGUGUAAUGGUUGACCAAAGAAAACAUGGGUUUUGAUGUCCUGAUCAUCUGAAGCCUCGUUUGAACAAUGUAAAGUGCGACUUAUGUUGUGUUGAUGCAGCUGGACUAUGAAGAUGUUUCCUAUUAUUUAAUUUUCUUACAUAUAUAAGAAGAAAUACGGCGAGUCAAAAUAUGUACAGUCCGUUAUGUCUACAAGAUUGUAGAGCGAUCAACCAUGCAAUGAAGAAAACAAAAACGAAAUUCAAGGGGGACAUAUUAGCAAACAGCCAAACUGAAAAUAUCCCAUUAGAAGUGUUUGAGAGUACAUGAUCAAGACACCUAGUGCACAAGGGUGCUUAUUGUAAUUAUAUUUAGGAAACAAGAUACGAUCUUAAAACAUAAAGCAAUAAUACGAGUUGAACAUCAAAACAAGAUAACACAACAAUUUCACAAACACAUCUCUCAGGCUUCUUUAUUUUGACAAGGUUAUGUAUGCAGGCUGCAAAUACAUGAUAUUUGUCCGCGUUACUAAUAGGGAUGAAGAAUGACACUGAAAGAGUCGAGGUAAUCCCCGUAGUUUCCGCUGAAUCCACCAAAGCUACCCUUAGCGACUGGCAGCGAGAAACUAGUCCCCUGGGUUGUGCCAUAUGGCCCAUACUUCUUUUUGUUGGUUAGGAAAGACAAUGACGUAAUCACAGUGUAGCCGGCAUAUACUCCCACAGUUCCGCUAAUCCCGAUGAGGUUCUCAUCAUCAGCAAAUGUAAACUGAAGAUAUACCCAAAUAGAUGAUAAAUGAUGUAUGAUAAAACUAGAAUAUAAGUGCAGUACAUGUUUAGGUAACAGAUGUAAUGAAAGCCCACUAUACCGUAUGAGGUGAACCACCAUCACCACCAUAUGUUUCAGAAUGGUGUUUGACAUUAUCACGAUCCUUGUAAGUGAACCUGAUUGAAUCUACACACCCUGAGGCACUGAUACGGAUCUCGCAAAUCCUGCCCUCAGGGAUGAAUGUCCAGGGAUUAACUCCACCCUUACCUCCCCACGGUCCAACCUGUACGCCAUUGCCUGCCUGCAUAUAGGGGUGAAAUAAAAUAUAUAACUAAGAAGUGGACAUAUCUUAGCAAUCAACAGAUGAAAUACACCAGGUUAACCAUAAACCCAGCAUUUCCAAAUAUAUAUGGUGAAAGAGUAUACCAUGUUUGAUCUGAAUGUAUUCUCAAAGGAAAAGAUGAAACUCGUGGAAAGUAAUAAGUUAUACAUUUAGCCCCAUUAAGAGAAGGACUAUUUAUAGACCUGAUCAGGUAGGGUUUUUAAAGUAUAAUGGAUUCAGAUAAGAUGUCCGGUCUUCCUGUAAUGAAAACAUAAAAGUUUAUAUUGAUUUACUAUGAUUGGGUAAAUGUAAUUCUUUAGUAAAAGAUGUCGGUAGAAUAUGUUAGGGUGUAGUAACUUAAGGAUGAAUAGUAGUUUCACAUGUGUCAAUGUACGGUAUCAAUUUUUAGAGCACAUGCUUGUUAGGUAGUAAUUCAAUAAGAUGACAAUAGAUGCUUCUGUCAUCAGUUUUCNUGGUGUGAUUAUUUUUAGAUUUGCGUGCCUGGUUUGGUAAGAGUUAUGAUUCGGAUAAUAUCUCCCUAUAUAGAUUAGGAGGUUAUGUUAAUUUUUUGUGGCAAUGAGAACUGAUUGGGAAUUUCUAUUACCAUGUGAGACAUAGGUAACUAGGAAUUACCGAAAAAGAAAGCCAUAUAGUUUGUCUCUAUGAUAAAGUUGGAAUUCUAAUAGAGAACUAGAACUUUGAAAGUUAUGAGAGUCCUGUUAUUUAUGUAGUAAAACUGUAGGAGCGGUUCGCAAGGGUGAUGUUUUUUAUCAAAGGAGUCUGGAAAAAGUCUUGGUGUCAUGGAAGAAAGUCGUAACGGUUUACAUUUAUACCGAUUAACUCACAAACUUGUUAGCAUUGUUCGUCAAUGCGUGGUUUACAGAAGAAAGGAAGAUCUAAUGUAAUUUGAAAGGCAUACCCUCAGAAUAUUAGAAUAUUAUGCAGGUGAAAUGAUAGUGUGUAUUAUAUAAUGCGACGGUGGUAGUAUUAUUUAUGAGAGGCUUUUAAGAAGAUUAAAACGGGUGUGAAGAAGAGGACAAUGGUACAACUAGUGUUGUCAUAGACACUUGGCGAAAAGUUUAACCGGAACAUGACUGUGUUGCUGACGUGGAUAGAAAGGCAUGAAGGUAAGAAAUGCAAAGAGUACACAGAAGAAAAAGUUAUGAAGAAGAGAGAACUUAUAACUCCUAAUUUGAGGCAACGUGUGGAUCUGUAACGUAUUAAUAAAUCUAGGGAUGAUUUAUGUGUGUGUGAAAGGUUGUUAUUUCCUUUUGUGAAUCAGUUGAAAAGGUUGUAUUAAACCUUAUGAUGGUAAGGAGUCAUAAAAAAGGGAUCAAAGAGUCAUAUGGAUUCGUGAGAGUAUAACAAUCUCUUGUUAAGAGCUUAAGGCAAGUAUUGAAUUGAGUAAGGAACUUAAUGAUCAAGUGACUGAUGAAAUAUGUGAUAUGAAACUUCAAGGACGUGUGACUCCUUGAUGUGAGGGACUAGUGUAUAAUUACAUCUCGUUAAUGUACUAGUUAUAGACCUGAGGUGCAAGGAUAUGAAACUUUUAGAAGCUGACUAGGUGAUCAACGAAUAGAUAUAAUGGUACACUUCCAAAUUCUCAUAUAGAGAAGGUAAUAAGAAGAAUAAGGAAAUUGGUUUGGUAAAACUUGUGAAUCGGGAAAUAGAAUGGUAAAGUGAGAACUACAUGAUAAUCAUUUGCAUGCAAUGUUAUGGCUCGCGUAUCACUACACACACAUAUCACUCGUUGUGAUUUGAAAAAAACAUGAUGUUGUUCGAAAUUGGAGUAUGAGAUGGGAAAUUCUAGUUGGGUAUGUUGGAAUACUAACGGUGUGUGAAUAAAGACAUUUAGGUAUCAUGUGUUAAGUAACAUUAGAACGUGUAAUGUGUAAUGUCUAGUGUACGAACAUUAUGCAAUUAUUAGACAAAGGAUGUAUUUGGAUUUGAUAGUUAUGGUUAGUUGUGGAGUGAUCAUGUUUGAUACUUCAUUAAAGAAGUUAGAAGGAAGCCCGGUAAGUGGUUGCCCAAUUACCGAUAAAAUUAGAGUACCUUAGUUGAAGCAUGAUGGGAAAGGGAUAUGGUAAUGGGAUGCGUAAAAGAUUCCAAUGGUGAAUCUGAUUUGGGGCAAAAAAAAAUCUGCUACAAUUUGGUCCAGUGUUUUUAGUUUAGUUAACACAAGUAUGAAUUCAACUUCUUCAACCGGUUGUGUGAAAAUUAGACUUCUGAAAGGUGUUUGUGUCAAGUGGCACAAAAGGUAUAGGCAUACUCCAUCAUGUUUUCACCCAUAACCAUGACUGAAAAUUUCGAAAUAUGUUUGUGAGGUUGAUUGAAGCAAUUGAUGAGACAAGGUUGGAUGAUGUUAUAAGUACUACCACAAUUGACUAAAACGGUAACGGUUUAGUUUUUAGGGAGAGGAAAACCCAAAAAACGUUGUCGUUGAAAAUGUAAGGAAUUGAUUUUUGGCGUAGUUGAGGUUCUCGGUAGUCGGUAUGGGUUCAAGGAGAUUGUCUUCGUCGAAGUGAUCUGCAUUGUCAACGACGAGCGUGAACUGUGGGAGGUUACACUCAUCGCACAAUGUUUUUUUUACUGAUUCAGGGGAUAAGAAGGAGAAUCGACGAGGAUGUUUUGGUGUGGGUAAGACGGUCAGCAUGGGUUAGGAAGUGGUAGUUGUUGGUGAUGAUGGUGUGAUACUGGUUGCUGGUAAAUUCUUGGGAUAUGUUAUAGUAGAUGAAGAACAUGAGUUUGGAAAGUGUGGUUUUGCAAAUCCGAGUUUAUCUUCCAAGAGUUUGACUAACCCAUAUGCUUGAUGAAGGGAAGUGGGGUGAUGAAGUGCUAACUCGUUCUGAAUGUUAGGAAUAUAGAAUUCAACAUAGAGAGUUGAGAGGAAGCAAUUUAGAAGGGAAUUGGUAUCGUGACUUGAGAGGAUGCAAUUGCUGACUUUUUCGAACUCUAAUUGAUAGGCCGAAACAAUGAGUAUUUUGAGAUUCAAUAAUCAAAAUUAUCAACAAUAAAACCAGGGUCAUCGCUCCUACUCUUUUCCCGGUUGAAAAGUUGAAAAAGUUGGCUAUUGAUCUUUUGAGGUAAAUCUAUUAUAUAUAUUUUUUUUAUUUCUCUUAGUUUUUUGGAAUCUGAUUCAUAUUGGUAUAGCAGCAUCAUAUUUUGUUAGUUUAAGCAAAAUAUUUGAUUAAAGGAUUAAAAUCCUUUAAGGCUUUUGUAGGAUGUAAUACUUUGAGCUAAAUAUCUGAUUACAUGAUUAAAAGAUUAGAAUCCUUUAAGACCUUUGCAGGCUGUUCUACUUUAAAUUAAUGACAGUUCAUGAUCAUUGCAUUUUUUUUAUUACAGGGUUAAAUGUGUCUUUUUAGUUACUAGAUGAAUAAUGAGCUCAUAAGUCCAAUUCAAUUAAAUAGUUGUGUUUGGUUUAUUUAGAUCCAUCAUUUGGGCAUUCUAUAUGCUUUAUUUCACAUAUGAAUAUCUUGAAAGUAGCUAAUAAAUAGGUUUGAUGCUUGGAGAUUCUCACACACACAGUAACCGUUGCUUUUACACUAUGUACUUGUAUGUUUUUGAGGUUGUCUAUACUUAAUCUCUUAUGAUCACUUGUUAGCCCUUUUUGGUGCUAUUCACAGACGUAACUAUGAUGAUACCAAAUAAUAUGAGCAAACUCUUACUAAACAGAUCAUGAAUGAUCAUACUUUCUUUGUUAAUGUUUACUACGAUUGGUAUUUGGUAUAGUUACUACUUGAUAUGGUUAUAGUUUUUCUUUUUAUUGUAAUAAAUUUUCUUUACUUUUUAUAUGAUUUAUUUUGAAAGUUGGAUUCGGCCCCCCUAGUUCAAAUGUCUGUGUUCCGCCCCUGUAUGUGGAGUUCCAUACUUGUGCUUCAAUCCUUGUAAUGGGCCUUUCAAACUUAUUUUUUGAUGGACUUCAGUUUGCUGACUCUUUUCUAGUGUAUGCGCGGUAUCACUUCCCCAUGGUUGAGUUGACAAUACCCUUAUAGCACUUAAUACCCCCAUUGUUGCCAUAUAAAUAAAUAAAUAAAUAAAUAAAUAAAUAAACUGAUGACAGCUUCUUGUUACACCCAUUAUCACCAUUUAAUUUUCAUACAUCGCUACAAAAAAUAUGGAUGAAUUUAAAUGUAUUAGAAGAAAUUCUUCUUCGCCAAACAAAUGCUCAUUAUGUGUGAUUGUAGAGUCAUAAUUGCUAUUUUUCCAUAACUAGUUCAUAUGGCUAACUUCAAAACAAAGAAAAAAAUAUUUUCAUUAUAUACAAUUCCAUACAACUUGUUUUUAACUAUAUUUAAGUGUAGCAAAAUUUAUCAUUAUUUACCAGAUAAUCAAUUAUCUAGUAUUGUGAAAGAACACCUACAAACUUAAUUCUUAUUUGGUGUAAUGGUUGACCAAAGAAAACAUGGGUUUUGAUGUCCUGAUCAUCUGAAGCCUCGUUUGAACAAUGUAAAGUGCGACUUAUGUUGUGUUGAUGCAGCUGGACUAUGAAGAUGUUUCCUAUUAUUUAAUUUUCUUACAUAUAUAAGAAGAAAUACGGCGAGUCAAAAUAUGUACAGUCCGUUAUGUCUACAAGAUUGUAGAGCGAUCAACCAUGCAAUGAAGAAAACAAAAACGAAAUUCAAGGUGGACAUAUUAGCAAACAGCCAAACUGAAAAUAUCCCAUUAGAAGUGUUUGAGAGUACAUGAUCAAGACACCUAGUGCACAAGGGUGCUUAUUGUAAUUAUAUUUAGGAAACAAGAUACGAUCUUAAAACGUAAAGCAAUAAUACGAGUUGAACAUCAAAACAAGAUAACACAACAAUUUCACAAACACACACUACUAGAAACUUGAGUUUCAGCUACGGAUUUAGAGAGAGAUUUAUUCCGUAGCAAAAUUUUGGUUUAUAGAGAGGGAAUUACGAGAGAUCUACGAUGGUUUAAAAAAGUAUUUUAUUUAUUCAACAUAUAGCGAAUUAGAGAGGGUUUAGCGAGUGAUAAGUUACGGAUCUUACAAGUCUUUAUCGACGCGCCCUUAUUCGUCGGUAAUCGGUGGAAAACGAAGGCAUUUGGCGAGGGUUCAACGAGGGAAAAAAAAUCGGCGACUUUUUGUCUUCUGGUAUGUAUUUAGCGAGAGAAUGCCGAUGGAGCAUACACACGUUAUGUUUUUUUAAUUGAAGAUCUCUCGCUGAUUGACAAAUCCAAUUCCAGUUUCACGAAGUUUGUGUAAGUCUCCUUCCCUCCCAAAUCUGCUUUAUCACUCCAAUUGAACACGAAGUUUGUGUAAGUUUGACUCUCGAGUUGCAGCUUAACCUAAUCUCACCAUCUCCGUUCAAACAGAUGACGACACCAUGGACCAUUGCAGCUUCGGAUUCCGACAGCCUCCACAUUUUUGAAACCUAAAAUUAUUCUUCCUUAACUUCCGAUUCAGGUAAACCUGUUGAUUUUAUUUGCUUUAGUCAUAUAUUAGGUUAGGUUUGGUUCAAUUGCACAAUAUAUUACGUUAGGGUUUAAUUUCUCCAUUUUUUUCCUUUUUCAAUCGUCAUUCCUCUUAUAUCGAUUGCAUCUAUAUUAGAAUAGAUACUUAGAAUUAGAACUUGAUAUAGGGCUUGAUUGGUUGCUUUAGUCCUAUAUAAACCUGGUAGCAUAAGUUUUGUGCAUCAAAGCUUCACCUUGAAGCUCUCCUGUCAUCUCUGUACAUGCAUCCACAUGCUCUGCAACAAGCCCAACAACACCAGUUUCAUAGGCAAUCAUAGUAAACUGAUAAAUCCUCCAAUCCGUGUCAGCUGUUUUCACCUGUGUAAUAUGCCUAAAUGCAAGUCAAAAUAAGUUUACUGAUCAAGUAAAAAAACAUUAUAUAGAAUGCCCUAAAGUGAUCAAGGUCUAUGGGAUUUUGAAAUAGUGGUGGAGACAAAUUCUUAUUACUAGUAUGUCCAUGGAGAACUUUUUUUAAGGUGGGAAACCUAGGAUCCCUAUCACAAGAUCAAACAGGCUGUCAAUAGCAAGCUGUCACUAUUGUUCUCAUGGCUUUAUUGUGUUAUGUGGAGACUUUGUAACGAGGUUGAAUUGAAGAAAAAAAAAGAUAAAUAUAAAAGAAAGAAAGAUGAUAGUUAAAUGUAUGAGAGGUAAAAAUGUAAAACAUACAGCAGGGGUUUUUGACAUUCUUUGAAAAUGGGGAAGACUUCUAUCUAUGAAUCCGUUUGGAGCUCGUUGACCUCCUACUGAUUUGUUGACCAACACAUGCAAUCAUUUGACUUAUGUUGAUUGUUUGGAAAAGAAAUUAAUUCUAUUGAAUUUGUUGUUCAUAGAGUUAUGGAAGAUAUUAGAUUGAAGUUAUUUGGUCUUAAAUUUGGUUAUUUGGGGCUGAAUAUAGAGAUUUGUAAAAGUUGGAACAUCCCAAUCAAAAAUGUCAAUGGUUCUGAUGGGGAUUGAUUUGAAUUGUUUUUUGGUUAAAAGGAAGUGCUGGCAGGUUUGCUGUCGUGGUUUCAGGUUGAUGAGAAUAAGGAUGGAUUAUAAUAAAUGUGUUGUUUUGAGCAAUUGGCUUAAAGGGUAUUUUUGUCAAUUUUAGAAAAUAAGAAAUUUAGAAGAAGGUAUCGUGAGUUGCAAUUUCAAAAGUAUCUAUUUUUCUUUGAUCUUUUUGGAUUCUUGGUGGGAUAAUAUUUUGAAGAAUAGAGAUUGCUGGAUGCGAAUUCAAGAACAAGGUCUGAUUGUGAUUUUUUUGGAUAAUGAGGAGGAUUGGAUUUUUUUAUCUCAGGCAUGCUAUCGCACGAUCAUAUGGAGGGAGGGAUACUUGCGAUUUGGAGAUUUUUAUUACUGGGAUGGGAGAAUUUUGGGUCAGGGGCAUAUUGGGUAUAUCCUAAUUUUUGGUGAGUUUCGUUUCUGGUCGGAAAAGAUUGCUGGUCGGUGUAGGGUGAAUAGUACUUGGGAUCUUUGUUUUAAUGGAGGUUUAAGUGGUGAGGGCAUUUUGGGAAUUUCUUUUUUCCUCAAUGAAUUUUGGGGCUGGAGCGAUCUGAUUGCUAGUUGGAUUGCUGUGCAUAUUAAUUGCUUCCAUGUAUUCGAUUUCCUUUUCAUAUAUUCUUCUGGGUUUUUUUAUUAUCGGAAAUGGUGGGAGUUCUUUUUUGACUGUUCUGAGAAGAAAGGUGUGAGGCAAUUUAAUCAAUUUUUUAUUAUGGCGGUUUGGACCUGUGAUUGGCAUUUGAAGAAUGAUGUUCGGAUUGGGAGUCAUAUUUGGUAUUGUUUUGAUCCUUUGGAUGUUGAACAUGAGGUGAAUAAAAGUUAUUGGGUUGUAAAUAUGGCUCACGUUGUUCGAUUUUUUGGAGUUGGAACCAGGGGCAUUUUGGUCAUAUAUAUAGAGAGAUUGUGUUAGAAUGAUUGAGAAGGGGUUUAAACGUGAUAAGGAUUGGGUUCUGACUUUAUUCAUUUGUUAUUACACGCAUGAAGAGAGGUUUUAUGGGAAUGGGAAGUUUUAUAUUCAGGGGUAUUUAAGGAAUAUUCGAAAGCCUAAAAUGUAGUUUAUUAUAAAGGGUUUUGCUUUUUUUUUUUUUUAUGUUUUAUGUGCUUUACAUUAUGUUUAUUUCUUUAUAUUUAUUAAAUAGGAGGUGGGAGUGAAGAAGUUCCAGUCGUGCUUUACCCAUAGUUCAAGAGAGAAGCAACUGUUGAGCCUCUGUUCUCCUCUGUUCUCUGUUCAAACAGGUGUGAUUAUUUUAUAUUUGAUCAAAUAUUUAUUUGGUUUUAGUUGUGACAAAAAUAUUUAUAAUAGUCGUGACACUUAAGUUUAUCCUCUGUUCUCCGUUCAAAAAUAUUUUAGUUGGUUGAUUGUUUUGUAAUUAAGUUCCCUGCAUGCUUGUUAACUGGAUCUGGUUACAGAAAAAAAAAGAACAAAAAAAUAUUUUUCAUUCUGAUCAAAAUUGAAAUGCAUUGGAUGUUAUUUUGUUUGCCCCUGGUUUGCUUUUCUCUUUUCUGACCAUUUUACCCCUGGACAUCAAUGCAUGGAUCUUUGCUCUAUUUUGGUAACAUAAGCCCCUCUGCGAUUUUUUUUCUCCCUGUGGUUUCAUUUUGUUUUGGAAUUAUAUGGUAAAAUGAUGAAUUUUCCAUAAAUCCUUAGAUGCAUGUGAUAGAACAACUUUAAUGUCUUCAAGUUUCAGCCCCUUUCCUUGAAUUGCCAAACAAUUGGAACAAAUACCAAAAUACCCUUUUAACCCUACAAUUUCACAAGAAAAGUUUCAAUUUCAAUUCCAAUUCUAAUUCCUUCAAUACCAACUCUUUAUCUACUUCCUUGAUUUGUGAGAUUUGUGACAUUUUUCAAUAGAUUCACAUGGACCUUCUUUCUGCAACAACAUUGCCCCUGCUUCUUAAUCCAAAAAAAUCGAAAAUAGAACAUAAUAUUUACAACUUCUCAAUUCCAAUUCCAAUUCCAAUUCCUUCAAUACCAACUCUUUAGAUAGAUUCCAUUCCUUCCUAAAAAACAUUAACUCUCUUAACAAACCAAUGCUGCAAUCAACCUUCUUGUCCUUAACUCUCUUAGCCUUGUUCUUCCUUCUUUUCGGCUUCUCUUCGGCUUCAGUGUCAUGUCAUUCACAGAGAGCUCCUCGACAUUAUCCUCUUCAACAAGCCUGUGCAAAAACUUGGGUCAUUAAUCACUCAUAUAUACAAUAAUGUAAAUUCCCAUUAUUUCGUUAAUUAACCUUGUUUAACUCACGUGUAUGUGUGUAUGCAUGCUUCAUUUCUGUAAUUUGAUAAUUCAUAUUUUCUGUAAAACUUCAUUUCCUUUCUGUAUCUGUAAUAAAAUAAUUACUUUUUUUUAACAUCUCCCUAAUUGCCCUGAUUCUAUGGGACCAGGGAGCUUCUGAAAGGUGAAUCAGAGGGACUUUUGAAACUUCCUGCAUUCCGCCCUUAUGUUGAGCUCUAUGCAAAGGUAUAUUGUGAACUUAUUAUUAUUAUAAUAUAAUAACCAAAUGUGAUGCCAAGUAAACUUUGAUCUUUUAUUCACUCGGUAGAAACUAGAGAGGUUCCUUCCACAGGAAACCUAAAAGUGCACACUAAACGUGCACUUUUAAAACAAAGCCAUUCCCAUUGCUUUAAUUAAGUAGAAUUUUAAUAUAAAAUGCUACGUUUUAACAGAAUUUAGUUUAAAGCCAUGUCAUAAUUGUUUAUAGGUUUGACUGAAAGUGUGAUCCAAACUUCCAUCAGUGAAAAACUUUUUAGUUUUUAAGUUAAACCUUUGGGAGUUUGAAGUUAUAUGGAUAGUUUUGGUUUUGGAUGUUUUUUGAAUGAUACUUUGGUAAACUUUGAUAGUUUUGGUAUUGUAAUGUUUGGUUGUAUUGUUAUUCGAUGUUUUUUAGUAUAAAAAUUUGAUGAUUGUAGUAUUUUUUUCUUUUAGAAUCAUAAAAAAAAAUGAUAUUACAAGUUCGCGACGGAUUGGUGAGAAUAAAAAAAGUACUUUAAUGCAUCAAUUUUGCGAGGGAUUAGCUACGAAAAAAAUAUCAUGUCUAAAGUUUGCGACGGAUCAGUGAUGGAACAAAAAAUUAAUGCCCUGAGAUAAUGUAUUGAGUGACAUUUAGCGACGGAUAUUCUGUCGCUACAUUUGUCGCAAGGAAAAAUCUCUCCAUCGCUAAAACCCUCUCUGAGAAAUUAGCCACCUAUUAAUUACCUAUGGAGUGAAUCCGUCGCUGAUCCAUCGCAAACAACAUUUAGCGACGGAAUAGCAACGGAUACUUCCGUCUCUAAAACUCAUGUUUCUAGUAGUGACAUCUCUCAGGCUUCUUUAUUUUGACAAGGUUAUGUAUGAGGCUGCAAA
rnacentral:lncRNA from 1 species